GACGAACGCUGGCGGCGUGCUUAACACAUGCGAGUCGAACGGGCCCGCUCUCUUUUUUGGGGGUGGGUUGAGUGGCGAACGGGUGAGUAUCACGUGAGUAACCUGCCCCCUGCUCCUGGAUAACUGCUUGAAAGGGCGGCUAAUACGGGGUGUGCCGGCUGGUCCGCAUGGGCCUGGUCGGGAUAGUUUCAUCUUCGGGUGUUUCGGUGGGGGAUGGGCUCGCGGCCUAUGAGCUUGUUGGUGGGGUGAUGGCCCACCAAGGCGGUGGCGGGUAGCCGGCCUGAGAGGGUGGGCGGCCACACUGGGACUGAGACACGGCCCAGACGCCGGCGGGAGGCAGCAGUGGGGGGUAUUGCACAAUGGGCGGAAGCCUGAUGCAGCGACGUCGCGUGAGGGAUGGAGGCCUUCGGGUUGGGAACCUCUUUCUCCGGUGGUGAAGGCCCUGUCCGUUGCGGCGGGGUUGACGGUAGCCGGGUAUGAAGCGCCGGCUAACUACGUG
rnacentral:rRNA from 1 species